rnacentral:rRNA from 1 species
CCUACGGGUGGCUGCAGUUUCGAAUCAUUCACAAUGGGCGAAAGCCUGAUGGUGCGACGCCGCGUGAGGGAUGAAGGCCUUCGGGUCGUAAACCUCUGUCACUGGGGAAGAAACGCUGCAAUUUAACAGAUUGCAGCCUGACUUAACCCGGAGAGGAAGCAGUGGCUAACUCUGUGCCAGCAGCCGCGGUAAUACAGAGACUGCAAGCGUUAUUCGGAUUCACUGGGCGUAAAGGGUGCGCAGGCGGCCAUGUGUGUCAGGUGUGAAAGCCCGAG